UACGUAGGGCGCAAGCGUUGUCCGGAAUUAUUGGGCGUAAAGAGCUCGUAGGUGGUUUGUCGCGUCUGCCGUGAAAGCCCGGGGCUUAACUCCGGGUCUGCGGUGGAUACGGGCAGACUAGAGGCAGGUAGGGGAGAACGGAAUUCCCGGUGUAGCGGUGAAAUGCGCAGAUAUCGGGAGGAACACCGGUGGCGAAGGCGGUUCUCUGGCCUAUAACUGACGCUGAGGUGCGAAAGCGUGGGGAGCAAACGGG
rnacentral:rRNA from 1 species